CCUACGGGUGGCAGCAGUGGGGGAUAUUGGACAAUGGGGGGAACCCUGAUCCAGCGACGCCGCGUGAGUGAAGAAGUAUUUCGGUAUGUAAAGCUCUGUCAGCAGGGAAGAAAGCAAUGACGGUACCUGACCAAGAAGCCACGGCUAACUAGGUGCCAGCAGCCGCGGGAAUACGUAGGGGGCAAGCGUUAUCCGGAAUUAGUGGGUGGAAAGGGAGCGGAGACGGGUGUGCAAGUCUGGAGUGAAAGGCGGGGUCUCAACCCCCGGGCUGCUCUGGAAACUGUAUGGCUGGAGUGCAGGGGAGGUAAGCGGAAUUCCUAGUGUAGCGGUGAAAUGCGUAGAUAUUAGGAGGAACACCAGUGGCGAAGGCGGCUUACUGGACUGUAACUGACGUUGAGGCUCGAAAGCGUGGGGAGCAAACAGGAUUAGAUACCCUGGUAGUU
rnacentral:rRNA from 1 species